GUUUACCUUCAACUCCAAAAACUUCUCCUUUCUCCAACAUUGUUCCAGCCUUCCAUUGUGACGUUAAGGAUCUGCAGCUAUUUAUACCAGAAUUUGAGCAAAGGUAAAAUUUUAUGCUUUCAGAGUCAAAACAUAACUUUUCAUCUUGUUCGAGCCCAAGGGCCUUCUUUUGUGCUACUGGCACCAGGUAAUUGGUGUGAAGUAUAUAAGGUUGAUUCUUUGUAUGUAUGUGUCUUAUGUUUUAAUUGUUAAUAAUAUGAUUGUAUCUUUUCAUGAGCUGAGAUCUCUUGUUCAAUUGGUAGUUCUGCCAUCGACCUUUUUGCAACUGCAAACAUUGCUGUUGGUUAUUUUCUCAUUAUGUAUGUUGUUACACCUCUUAUGUACUGGUUCAAUGUCUACAAGGCCAGGAACUCUCCAAUAUUCUCGGAUGGCUUGUUUAAAUAAAAAGGUCAUGAUUACAGCAUUUCAAAAAUCAUAGGCCCUAACUUUCACAUUGAUUUAGAGAAGUAUGACCACGAGGGUCGUCUUUAUCUCAGCAUUGUCCUUUUACUAACUUAUGGAUUCAGCUUUGCCUGCCUCACUGCCACGGUUGUUCAUGUCUUUCUCUUUCAUGGAUGGUAAGCUUCAUACUUUACUGUUAUAAUGGAUAAAAUUCAGUAUUUUAAUGUGGCAAUAGUUUCAGACUAGAAAAGUUUAGUGCAUAAAGUUUAGUAACCUUUAGUGAAAGUAACCCCUGCCUCGAUGUAUAGAAUGGAAGCACCACUUGACUAGUUAUAGUGGUGCAGGGAUCUAUGGCAUCUCAGUAAGUCUGCUUUACAGGAAAAGAAAAUGGACGUGCACACGAAGCUCAUGAGAAAAUACAAGCAAGUUCCUAAAUGGUGGUUCAUGAUUAUACUACGAAUAAAUAUUAUAGCAACUGUAUUUGUAUGUGAAUAUUACAAAAACCAGCUUCAAUUACCAUGGUGGGGUGUUUUGUUAGCAUGUUGCCUGGCGUUCUUUUUCACCCUCCCAAUUGGAGUCAUUGCUGUUACCACAAAUCAAAAACGAUAUUCAAAAUUUCCUUGAAGGUAAUUUUGUAUCCGGUUUCGUAAUGAAUAUUACGAUAUUGCUAAGGCAUUCAGGAAUAUGGGAAAGUGAGGUUACAUACAAUCAAUACAAAAAUGAUGGGAUAGUGGUCGGGGAAAAUAUUUCAUAUAUGAAUCUAAUCUCCGCAAUUGCUACUGAAUUAAAUAUUGAUGAAUUGAAAAAAAUAUUAUUAUCCCGAUAUAUUGUAGAGGGCAAUUCUUCUCCGAUGAUAAUUAGGAAUGAUAUGGGUGUGAAGUUAUUUAUAAAAAUAAAGAAGCAAGAGGUUGGAUUCAAUAUGUAUCCGCUUUGCAUCAUACAAAUGAUAAAAGUACAGAGGAGUUACAAAUUUUUGAUUCAACCAGUGGUGCAAUUAUGUGUAUUGAAGGUGGACAAAGAGACGCUAAUGCUCUAAACGUUGUUGAAUCAAACAUUGGUGAUUCUUGUUACAUACCCGAGAUGGAGAAAGAAAAUUAUAUAUAUCAGAUACAAAUAUAUCAAAUGUGGAGACGAUUCAAUUGUACAAGGAUAAAGCAACGCUUGUGGCUGUAAUGAUGAAAUACAAAAUUAAAACUAGCUUCAAUUUUAGAGUUAAACGGUCAGAUACAAAAAGGUAUGUAAGUAUUUCAUAGUUGAUUUUUGUUUACACACUUUAGAGAAUGAUAUUUUUGGAUAAAUUUGGAUUAUUUACAUGGUUAGUAUAUCACUUUGUGUUGGAUAAUUACAAAUUUUUUUUGUAUAAGUCAAAGAUGGAAUUAUAAUUGUGACAAUUUAAUUUAUUUUGUAUUAUUAUGUUGACGUGUCUGUGAACGUGUGUAGGAGGUAAAACACAGUGGACAUUUAUAUGAAUGUUAAAAUAGUUUGUUUGACAUGAAUAUAAUAUGAGGUGUUAUUGUAAAUGUUACAUACCUUUACAUACAUUGACUCUAAUUAUCAAAAAUUUUGUAUCAAAUCUUAAAGUUUCAAGUAUGCAUUUUUACUAAUAACUAACAAAUUUAUAUGGUAUAAUUGCAGCUAUGUUUUAGAGUGUUAUUCAGAGAAAUGUUGUUGGAAAUUAAAUGCGUCUGUUAGGAAAAACACUGAUAUAUUCAAAGUAAGAUACUUCAACAGUAAGCAUACAUGUCCAUUAAGGGAUAGGGUAUUAAGUAAAGUACAAGCUACUGUUGGAUUUAUUGGUGCUUUUACGGCUCCAAAAUUGGUAAAUCAUAAAAGAAAACAUACUCCAAAUGAUAUAAUUGAUGAUGUUAGGAAAAUGUAUGGUGUUGAAAUUUCUUACCAGCAAGCAUGACGUGCUAAAGAACGUGCACUAGAGUUGAUAAGGGGCAAUCCUGCAGAUGCAUAUAAAAAUAUGCCAAGAUACAUACAUAUGUUGGAAACGGUGCAUCCAAAUUCUUAUAUACGGAUGCACAAAUCAGAAAAAAAUGAAUUUAUGUAUCUAUUAAUUGCUUUAAGGCCUUUGAUGAGAGGGUUUGAGUUCUGUAGGCCUGUUGUUGUUGUUGUUGAUGGUCACAUCUUAGUGGAGCUUACAAAGGGACAUUUGUAUCCGCAAGUACUCUUGAUGGGGCAGGUUGCAUAUUACCAUUAGCUUACGGGAUCGACCAAUACGGAAAAUGAUUGUUCAUGGACAUGGUUCUUCACACAGUUUAAAAAUGCAUUUGGUGAGAGAGAAAAAAUGUGUGUUGUUUCUGAUAGAAACGAAAGCAUAAUGGAGAGUGUUAGUAUAGUUUAUCCAAAUGUUUCACAUUUUGCAUGCAUAUGGCACUUGUGGAAAAAUGUUUGUACAUACUACAAGAGAAGUAAAAACACUCUAAGUGAUCUGUUUUAUUCGAUGGCUAAGGCUUAUCGAAAAAAGGAUUUGAAAAAUUGAUGGCUAAAGUGGAAAAAGUAGAUGGCAGAGUUAAAAAGUAUCUUGACGAGGCUGGCUAUGAAAGGUGGUCUAGAUCUCAUGUAACAGUGAAUAGGGGUAGAAUGAUGACAUCUAACAUUGCAGAAUGUAUCAAUGGUUGUCUUGUAGAUGCACGGCAAUUACCUGUUUUGGGCUUUUUGGAAGAAGCCAGAAUUCUAUUUGGUUCUUGGAACUGCAAAAAUAGAGAAAUAGCAUCUUAUACAAAGGAAACAUUAGGGAGGAAAUUUGAAGAGAUGCUGAUUAUAAACGCGUCCAAAUGUUCGAAAAUGAAGGUUGUUGCAUUUUCAGAUUUCAUUUUUUUCAGUUUAUGAAGGUGGUAUAAGAUACAUCGUUUGCCUUGAGAGAAAGAAUUGUUCUUGUGGUAGACUUCAGCAUGAUGAAAUACCUUGUGCGCAUGCAAUGACUGUUUUGAAGAAGAAGAAUAUCAAAGAUGUACACCAUACUAUUCUGAUUACUAUAAACCUGAUGCAUUAGCCAACACCUAUGUAGUUCCAAUGGAACCAAUGCCGGACAAAAGUGAUUGGACAGUUUCGGAAAGUGUUUCGGAAGAAGUUGUCUUAUCACCAAGAUACAAAAAAAUGCCUGGUAGACCAAGAAAAAAAAGAAAGAAAAAUACAGAUGAAAAGCUAAGCGAAAACACAAAUUGUUGUGGACGAUGUGGACAAGAAGGUCACAAUAGAAGAACAUGUACUUUCUUUCCAAAAGAUUCAUAAUGAUUAUGUUUCAGGAGUUCCUUUAAUAAAUGUAAUAGUGUAGCAUUUGGUUCCACUGUUACACAUAGAUUCUGAUUCAAUAAAUUUCUUUGAUCAUUUGGUAA